rnacentral:misc_RNA from 1 species
GAGAAAUGAGAGGCUAUAUGCUGGUCUUUGCCCAACAAUGCGGAGGCCAGCCGUUUCGACAUUUAAUAGUACGUUGCCGCUUGCCCGCUUCCGCUCUCUCUCCACUGUUCCUAUCCCUCUCCCUGUCUCCCAAAGCUCACCAAACCCACAAAAGCAUCUGUUUCAAUGCAACCAAAGGAUUCUACAACUUGGCAAGCUUGGCCGGAUUGAAGAGGCUCGUCAUGUGUUCGACUCAAUGUCUCAAAGAGACACUGUCUCUUGGAACUCCAUGAUCACUGCUUAUAUCCAAAAUAACAACAUUCGAGAUGCUAAAUUACUUCUUAAUGACUUUGAGUACAAGAAUGUGAGAACAUGGACCAUCAUGCUAUCUGGGUAUGCAAAAGCUGGGCUUAUUGAAGAAGCUAAAACUGUAUUUCAAUCAAUGCCUGAGCGUAAUGUAGUGACUUGGAACGCAAUGUUAGCUGGUUAUGUGCAGAAUGGUGAUAUAAAAAGUGCUAGGAACUUGUUCGACGAAAUGCCUGAGAAAAAUAUUUCUUCAUGGAAUUCUAUUAUAACCGGGUAUUCUAGAAGUGGAUUGAUGAGGGAAGCGAGGGAGUUAUUUGAUAGAAUGGGAGAGAGAAACUGCGUGUCUUGGAUGGUUAUGGUCUCUGGCUAUGUGGAGAUAAGCCAGUAUAGAGAAGGUUGGCACAUCUUUUUGAUGAUGAUGAAUAGUGGAUUGAUGCCCGACCAGGCAACUUUGGUGGUUGGACUGUCAGCAAUAAUGGGUUUGAAUAAUUUGGAUUUGAUUGGCAUUUUGAGGAAUAUAUCGAUGAAAUUGGGCUAUGAAGGAGAUGUGGUGGUGGGGACUGCUAUUCUGAAUGCAUAUAUGAGGAGUGGAAGUUUGGAUAAUGCUGCUAAAUUUUUUGAGGCGAUGCCAGUAAGGAACGAGUAUUCAUUAACUAGUAUGAUUGCUGCCUUUUCACAGUGUGGGAGAUUGGAUGAUGCGAUUGCAUUGUAUGAGAGGGAUAGGGAAAAAGGUGUUGCUACAAGGACCACAAUGAUGGCUGCAUAUAUGCAGAAAGGGAGGAUUGAUGAUGCCAGACACAUAUUUGAUGAGAUUGAGAAUCCAAAUGUGGUUACUUGGAAUGCUAUGAUUGGUGGAUAUGCUCAGAACGGAAUGCUUGAAGAAGCAAAAGCUAUAUUCUUGCAAAUGCCUGUUAGGAAUGCUGCUUCUUGGGCAGCCAUGAUUGCUGGUUUUGUGCAGAAUGGAAAUUGUAAAGAAGGUUUGAAGUUGUUUUCUGAGCUUCAUAGGACUGGGAUGGUUCCAAGUCAUUCAACCUUUACCAGCGCUUUGUUUGCUUGUGCCAACAUUGGAGAUGUUGAGAUAGGUAAACAAAUACACUCCCUUACUAUCAAGACAAGGUGUCACUCUAAUCCAUUUGUGGGAAAUGGGUUGAUUUCCAUGUAUGCAAAGUGCAAUAACAUAGGAGAUUUUUCCCAGGUAUUUAGUACGAUGAAUGUGAGAGACAGAGUCUCGUGGAGCUCACUUCUCUCUGGGCUUUCAGAGAACAACAUGUUGAAUGAUGCAUGGAACAUUUUUGAAAAGAUGCCAAUGCGGGAUGUGGUAUCUUGGACAGCUAUCAUAUCAGCAUAUGUGCAAGCUGGUCAAGCAGAAAGGGCCUUGAAACUGUUCCUUGACAUGUUGUCAGCUGGAGUGAGACCAAAAAACAUAACACUUACUAGCCUUCUAAGUGCUUGUGCCAAUCUGGGUGUAACCAAGCUUGGAGACCAGCUUCAUGGAUUGGUAUUCAAAUAUGGAUUUGAUUCAUGUUUGUCUGUGUUGAAUGCUCUAAUAUCUAUGUACUUCAAAUGUGGUAGUCUAUAUGGUUUUCAUGUCUUUGAAGAGAUGCUUGACAGGGACCUAGUCACAUGGAAUGCAGUUUUAGCUGGAUGCGCACACAAUGGAUUAGGUGAAGAAGCAACCAAAAUUUUCAAGCAAAUGGAAGAAGCCGGGGUUUUGCCAAAUGAAAUAAGCUUUUUAAAUGUUUUAGGUGCCUGUAGCCAUGCUGGGUUGGUCAAUGAAGGAUGGGACUAUUUCAUUUCCAUGACCCAGGAUUAUGGGAUGCUCCCAUCAAUUUAUCACUAUACUUGCAUGGUUGAUCUCCUUGGGAGAGCUGGAAAGCUUUCAGAAGCUGAAGCUCUCAUUCAAAACAUGCCUUAAAAGAAGAUUGUGUGAUUUGGGAUGCACUUCUUGCCGCUUGCAUGAUCCAUCAAAACAUGGAACUUGGCCAGAGGGUUGCUGAAAAGCUUUUGCAAAUGGGGAUGCAGAGAUCUGCUACUUAUGUCUUAUUAUCAAAUAUAUAUGCAUCUCAAGGCAUGUGGGACAAAGCAAGGGAAAUAAGGGAAUUGAUGAAACACAGUGUAGUGAAAAAAGAACCAGGAAUCAGCUGGAUUCAGGUCAAGAACAGGCUGCACUGUUUCCUUGUGGGAGACAAGAAGCAUAACGAGAUCAAUGAGAUACACUUGGCACUAAAGGACUUCUAUGGAUGCUACAGAGCUGCAGGUUAUCCAGAUACAAAUGUUGUAUUUCAGGAUGUUGAAGAGGAACAAAAGGAGAAUGAGCUUCUUUACCAUAGUGAGAAACUUGCUAUUGUGUAUGGAAUUCUGAGAACACCAACUGGUGCUCCUAUUCAGAUUAUGAAGAAUCUCCGAAUAUGUGUUGACUGUCAUUCUUUUAUGAAGUUCAUGUCCAAAGCCACUAAACGUAAGAUCAUUGUUCGAGAUGGAAAUCAAUUUCACCAUAUAUGGGAUGGUACAUGUUCUUGUGGGGAUUACUGGUGAGCAUGGUGCGGCAAAAGUGCCAAAUUGAAACCUUCUGCUUCGUUCUGUUGAGCAUAUAUUGUACAAGUUGCUGCUCCCAAGAUGCAAUGCUUAUCAUGUGAUGCUCAGUGAAUGCUUGCUGAAAUAGAAAGUUGAAGGCAAGAUUGGAAAAAUGAUUGAUCCAAAAUAUGCUGGUGAGAUCAUUAUCCUGAAGUUGUUAAAUCUUAGUUUGUUUUUGGACUUUAGAUUGUCUUGUCCAUACUUAUGUGACAAGUUGUGCUCAUUAUUUCUUUUCUAGUGUGUUUUCAGUGUGGGGUUAAAAACAGUGAUUUAUCUUAUACGAAGGCUGCUCAGUUGAAUGAUGACUCGUUUCAGGGAUCAGAUGUCAGAAUUGAGAUGUGAUCUGGUAAACAUUUUAGCUGCCUGAGUUGCGGUCCUUGCCACCAUGCAAGAAGAUUAUUCCUUUGUUAGCUUUGGAAGCAGUGCAUUGAUUCUCUUAAUGUCAUGAAUCCCAUUCAAUGAAGCAGCCUGGUUUGCUAAUAUUUACAAUGGAGAUUAUAGAGGUAUUUAGUCCAUUGAAUCUUUGGUUGUCAAAGUCUGCGAAGUUGGUGGAUUCAGCAGUUCAUGAAUGGUCUAUGUUGACCUCAGAAUCUGCUAGCAAGCAAAUAGACUUUACUGCUAAUUCAAUGUGUUACUUAUCUCGCAUAGACUGCUUGCAACUGUAUAGAACUUUUCACAACCUUCUCUCUACAUCACAAUAACACACAGAUCAGUGUUUGAAGUGACUCCUUGAUGGUGCCAUUGAAUUGAUGGUGAAUAGAAUGUUCUGCUAUUCGGCAAAUGUUCACCCCUGGAUAAUAGUAUCCUAGGUUGCUGAAGAGAGCAUCUCCUUUGCUUGGAUUUGGAAGUAGGUCUCCUUCCUGGUGAUUUUUCUAUUACUAAUGUGAACUGGAAUCUGAUGGGAAAGGCCUUCAAUAAUACACCUUGUCAAGGCCCUGCUCUUGUUAUAUAUUUUGCUUCGGGAGAUCUUGAAAAGAUCCAAUUGUACAAUUUCUGUAAUUUCUUCCAGAAACUUGGCAUCUUCUUUUGCAUGGGUCACCUUUUUGCUUUGUAGCGUCUCAUCUCAAUCCGACCGAGGAAUUGUUGGUUCGUAUGUGAGCACUCUCUCGCUUAAAACAAAUAGGUGUUGGAUCAUGUGGGGUCUGCUUCUUUGAUUCUAUAAGGGGUAUGCCACCCAGCCUCACUAAUGUAAUGUGAAGAUAGCUUAUUGGUGUAUUCUAAGACCAACUAAAAUUUACAACGCUGCAUUUUAUCAGUCUUUAUGCAGGUGUUGUAUGGUUUGAGUCUAGGAGUUUUUGGGGUAGCAGUUGGUGUUAUAUACUUUGUAGUUAAUUAUAAUGCUUUGUUUAUCUAUUGCUAAAUAAUCUGAUUUUAUUUUACAUUUAGACUAAAA